rnacentral:tRNA from 5 species
GCCGAGGUGGCGGAACUGGUAGACGCGCCGGACUCAAAAUCCGGUGGUGGUGACACUGUGAGGGUUCGAGUCCCUCCCUCGGUA